rnacentral:rRNA from 1 species
AUUGAACGCUGGCGGCAGGCCUAACACAUGCAAGUCGAGCGGAUGAAGGGAGCUUGCUCCUGGAUUCAGCGGCGGACGGGUGAGUAAUGCCUAGGAAUCUGCCUGGUAGUGGGGGAUAACGUCCGGAAACGGGCGCUAAUACCGCAUACGUCCUGAGGGAGAAAGUGGGGGAUCUUCGGACCUCACGCUAUCAGAUGAGCCUAGGUCGGAUUAGCUAGUUGGUGGGGUAAAGGCCUACCAAGGCGACGAUCCGUAACUGGUCUGAGAGGAUGAUCAGUCACACUGGAACUAAGACACGGUCCAGACUCCCACGGGAGGCAGCAGUGGGGAAUAUUGGACAAUGGGCGAAAGCCUGAUCCAGCCAUGCCGCGUGUGUGAAGAAGGUCUUCGGAUUGUAAAGCACUUUAAGUUGGGAGGAAGGGCAGUAAGUUAAUACCUUGCUGUUUUGACGUUACCAACAGAAUAAGCACCGGCUAACUUCGUG